rnacentral:rRNA from 3 species
GAAGUUUUCAGAGAUGAGAAUGUGCCUUCGGGAACCGUGAGACAGGUGCUGCAUGGCUGUCGUCAGCUCGUGUUGUGAAAUGUUGGGUUAAGUCCCGCAACGAGCGCAACCCUUAUCCUUUGUUGCCAGCGAUUAGGUCGGGAACUCAAAGGAGACUGCCAGUGAUAAACUGGAGGAAGGUGGGGAUGACGUCAAGUCAUCAUGGCCCUUACGACCAGGGCUACACACGUGCUACAAUGGCGCAUACAAAGAGAAGCGACCUCGCGAGAGCAAGCGGACCUCAUAAAGUGCGUCGUAGUCCGGAUUGGAGUCUGCAACUCGACUCCAUGAAGUCGGAAUCGCUAGUAAUCGUGGAUCAGAAUGCCACGGUGAAUACGUUCCCGGGCCUUGUACACACCGCCCGUCACACCAUGGGAGUGGGUUGCAAAAGAAGUAGGUAGCUUAACCUUCGGGAGGGCGCUUACCACUUUGUGAUUCAUGACUGGGGUGAAGUCGUAACAAGGUAACCGUAGGGGAACCUGCGGUUGGAUCACCUCCUUACCUGAAAGAA